rnacentral:rRNA from 1 species
AAUAUUGCACAAUGGGCGCAAGCCUGAUGCAGCCAUGCCGCGUGUAUGAAGAAGGCCUUCGGGUUGUAAAGUACUUUCAGCAGUGAGGAAGGUGGGUAUGUUAAUAGCAUAUUCAUUUGACGUUAGCUGCAGAAGAAGCACCGGCUAACUCCGUGCCAGCAGCCGCGGUAAUACGGAGGGUGCGAGCGUUAAUCGGAAUUACUGGGCGUAAAGCGCAUGCAGGUGGUUGUUAAGUCAGAUGUGAAAGCCCGGGGCUCAACCUCGGAAUUGCAUUUGAAACUGGCAAACUAGAGUACUGUAGAGGGGGUAGAAUUUCAGGUGUAGCGGUGAAAUGCGUAGAGAUCUGAAGGAAUACCGGUGGCGAAGGCGGCCCCCUGGACAGAUACUGACACUCAGAUGCGAAAGCGUGGGGAGCAAACAGGAUUAGAUACCCUGGUAG